rnacentral:rRNA from 1 species
CGUACACAAAAAUGCACAUAUUGUGAGCUCGAUGAGUAGGGCGGGACACGUGGUAUCCUGUCUGAAUAUGGGGGGACCAUCCUCCAAGGCUAAAUACUCCUGACUGACCGAUAGUGAACCAGUACCGUGAGGGAAAGGCGAAAAGAACCCCGGCGAGGGGAGUGAAAAAGAACCUGAAACCGUGUACGUACAAGCAGUGGGAGCCUCUUUAUGGGGUGACUGCGUACCUUUUGUAUAAUGGGUCAGCGACUUAUAUUCUGUAGCAAGGUUAACCGAAUAGGGGAGCCGAAGGGAAACCGAGUCUUAACUGGGCGUUAAGUUGCAGGGUAUAGACCCGAAACCCGGUGAUCUAGCCAUGGGCAGGUUGAAGGUUGGGUAACACUAACUGGAGGACCGAACCGACUAAUGUUGAAAAAUUAGCGGAUGACUUGUGGCUGGGGGUGAAAGGCCAAUCAAACCGGGAGAUAGCUGGUUCUCCCCGAAAGCUAUUUAGGUAGCGCCUCGUGAAUUCAUCUCCGGGGGUAGAGCACUGUUUCGGCAAGGGGGUCAUCCCGACUUACCAACCCGAUGCAAACUGCGAAUACCGGAGAAUGUUAUCACGGGAGACACACGGCGGGUGCUAACGUCCGUCGUGAAGAGGGAAACAACCCAGACCGCCAGCUAAGGUCCCAAAGUCAUGGUUAAGUGGGAAACGAUGUGGGAAGGCCCAGACAGCCAGGAUGUUGGCUUAGAAGCAGCCAUCAUUUAAAGAAAGCGUAAUAGCUCACUGGUCGAGUCGGCCUGCGCGGAAGAUGUAACGGGGCUAAACCAUGCACCGAAGCUGCGGCAGCGACACUAUGUGUUGUUGGGUAGGGGAGCGUUCUGUAAGCCUGUGAAGGUGGCCUGUGAGGGUUGCUGGAGGUAUCAGAAGUGCGAAUGCUGACAUAAGUAACGAUAAAGCGGGUGAAAAGCCCGCUCGCCGGAAGACCAAGGGUUCCUGUCCAACGUUAAUCGGGGCAGGGUGAGUCGACCCCUAAGGCGAGGCCGAAAGGCGUAGUCGAUGGGAAACAGGUUAAUAUUCCUGUACUUGGUGUUACUGCGAAGGGGGGACGGAGAAGGCUAUGUUGGCCGGGCGACGGUUGUCCCGGUUUAAGCGUGUAGGCUGGUUUUCCAGGCAAAUCCGGAAAACCAAGGCUGAGGCGUGAUGACGAGGCACUACGGUGCUGAAGCGACAAAUGCCCUGCUUCCAGGAAAAGCCUCUAAGCAUCAGGUAACAUCAAAUCGUACCCCAAACCGACACAGGUGGUCAGGUAGAGAAUACCAAGGCGCUUGAGAGAACUCGGGUGAAGGAACUAGGCAAAAUGGUGCCGUAACUUCGGGAGAAGGCACGCUGAUAUGUAGGUGAAGCGACUUGCUCGUGGAGCUGAAAUCAGUCGAAGAUACCAGCUGGCUGCAACUGUUUAUUAAAAACACAGCACUGUGCAAACACGAAAGUGGACGUAUACGGUGUGACGCCUGCCCGGUGCCGGAAGGUUAAUUGAUGGGGUUAGCGGUAACGCGAAGCUCUUGAUCGAAGCCCCGGUAAACGGCGGCCGUAACUAUAACGGUCCUAAGGUAGCGAAAUUCCUUGUCGGGUAAGUUCCGACCUGCACGAAUGGCGUAAUGAUGGCCAGGCUGUCUCCACCCGAGACUCAGUGAAAUUGAACUCGCUGUGAAGAUGCAGUGUACCCGCGGCAAGACGGAAAGACCCCGUGAACCUUUACUAUAGCUUGACACUGAACAUUGAGCCUUGAUGUGUAGGAUAGGUGGGAGGCUUUGAAGUGUGGACGCCAGUCUGCAUGGAGCCGACCUUGAAAUACCACCCUUUAAUGUUUGAUGUUCUAACGUUGGCCCGUAAUCCGGGUUGCGGACAGUGUCUGGUGGGUAGUUUGACUGGGGCGGUCUCCUCCUAAAGAGUAACGGAGGAGCACGAAGGUUGGCUAAUCCUGGUCGGACAUCAGGAGGUUAGUGCAAUGGCAUAAGCCAGCUUGACUGCGAGCGUGACGGCGCGAGCAGGUGCGAAAGCAGGUCAUAGUGAUCCGGUGGUUCUGAAUGGAAGGGCCAUCGCUCAACGGAUAAAAGGUACUCCGGGGAUAACAGGCUGAUACCGCCCAAGAGUUCAUAUCGACGGCGGUGUUUGGCACCUCGAUGUCGGCUCAUCACAUCCUGGGGCUGAAGUAGGUCCCAAGGGUAUGGCUGUUCGCCAUUUAAAGUGGUACGCGAGCUGGGUUUAGAACGUCGUGAGACAGUUCGGUCCCUAUCUGCCGUGGGCGCUGGAGAACUGAGGGGGGCUGCUCCUAGUACGAGAGGACCGGAGUGGACGCAUCACUGGUGUUCGGGUUGUCAUGCCAAUGGCACUGCCCGGUAGCUAAAUGCGGAAGAGAUAAGUGCUGAAAGCAUCUAAGCACGAAACUUGC